rnacentral:rRNA from 1 species
UACAGAGGUCUCGAGCGUUGUUCGGAUUCAUUGGGCGUAAAGGGCGCGUAGGCGGCGGGGUAAGUCGGGUGUGAAAUCUCAGAGCUCAACUCUGAAACUGCACUCGAUACUGCUCUGCUUGAGGACUGGAGAGGAGACUGGAAUUCACGGUGUAGCAGUGAAAUGCGUAGAUAUCGUGAGGAAGACCAGUGGCGAAGGCGGGUCUCUGGACAGUUCCUGACGCUGAGGCGCGAAGGCCAGGGGAGCAAACGGGG